UACGAAGGGGGCUAGCGUUGCUCGGAAUCACUGGGCGUAAAGGGUGCGUAGGCGGGUCUUUAAGUCAGAGGUGAAAUCCUGGAGCUCAACUCCAGAACUGCCUUUGAUACUGGAAAUCUUGAGUAUGGGAGAGGUGAGUGGAACUGCGAGUGUAGAGGUGAAAUUCGUAGAUAUUCGCAAGAACACCAGUGGCGAAGGCGGCUCACUGGCCCAUAACUGACGCUGAGGCACGAAAGCGUGGGGAGCAAACAGG
rnacentral:rRNA from 1 species